rnacentral:rRNA from 1 species
CGUGUAGGCGGUUGGUCAAGUCCGGUGUGAAAGCCCGAGGCUCAGCUUCGGAAGUGCAUCGGAAACUAGCCGACUGGAGCGCGAUAGAGGAGGGUGGAAUUCCUGGUGUAGCGGUGAAAUGCGUAGAUAUCAGGAGGAACACCGGCGGCGAAGGCGGCCCUCUGGAUCGUUGCUGACGCUGAGACGCGAAAGCGUGGGGAGCAAACAGGAUUAGAUACCCUGGUAGUCCACGCUGUAAACUAUGGGUACUAGGUGUUCGGGGUAUUGACCCCCUGAGUGCCGCAGUUAACGCAUUAAGUACCCCGCCUGGGGACUACGGCCGCAAGGUUAAA